CGGCGUGCUUAACACAUGCAAGUCGAACGAACCUUCGGGUUAGUGGCGGACGGGUGAGUAACGCGUGAGAAUCUGCCCUCAGGAGGGGGAUAACGGUUGGAAACGACCGCUAAUACCCCAUAUGCCUACUGGUGAAAUGAAUUUCGCCUGAGGAUGAGCUCGCGUCUGAUUAGCUAGUUGGUGAGGUAAUGGCUCACCAAGGCUUCGAUCAGUAGCUGGUCUGAGAGGAUGAUCAGCCACACUGGGACUGAGACACGGCCCAGACUCCUACGGGAGGCAGCAGUGGGGAAUUUUCCGCAAUGGGCGAAAGCCUGACGGAGCAACGCCGCGUGAGGGACGAAGGCCUUUGGGCUGUAAACCUCUUUUCUCAAGGAAGAAGAUAUGACGGUACUUGAGG
rnacentral:rRNA from 1 species